UACGAAGGGGGCUAGCGUUGCUCGGAAUCACUGGGCGUAAAGCGCACGUAGGCGGAUUGCUAAGUCAGGGGUGAAAUCCUGGAGCUCAACUCCAGAACUGCCUUUGAUACUGGGGAUCUCGAGUCCGGAAGAGGUGAGUGGAACUCCGAGUGUAGAGGUGAAAUUCGUAGAUAUUCGGAAGAACACCAGUGGCGAAGGCGGCUCACUGGCCCGGUACUGACGCUGAGGUGCGAAAGCGUGGGGAGCAAACAGG
rnacentral:rRNA from 1 species